rnacentral:rRNA from 1 species
AGUGAACGCUGGCGGUAGGCCUAACACAUGCAAGUCGAACGGCAGCACAGUAAGAGCUUGCUCUUACGGGUGGCGAGUGGCGGACGGGUGAGGAAUACAUCGGAAUCUACUUUUUCGUGGGGGAUAACGUAGGGAAACUUACGCUAAUACCGCAUACGACCUACGGGUGAAAGCAGGGGAUCUUCGGACCUUGCGCGAUUGAAUGAGCCGAUGUCGGAUUAGCUAGUUGGCGGGGCAAAGGCCCACCAAGGCGACGAUCCGUAGCUGGUCUGAGAGGAUGAUCAUCCAAACGGGAACAGGGACAAGGUACAGACUCCUAUGGGAGGCAGCGGUGGAGGAUAUUGGACAAUGGGCGCAAGGCUGAUCCAGCCAUACCGCGUGGGUGAAGAAGGGCUUCGGGUUCUAAAGCCCUUUUGUUGGGAAAGAAAAGCAGCAGGUUAAUACCCCGCUGUUCUGACGGUACCCGAAGAAUAAGCACCGGCUAACUUCGUG